CUGAGGGAAUCAGUCUCUGGAUUAGGAGAUGAAUAACUUUGGAAGUUCCCUGCAGAGAAGAGAGAAAAGCAAGAACUGAGCUAACGGUACCAGCAGAUGAGAAGGUACUCACCAGUUUCAGAUGCACCCUGGUCCUCUCCCUGUUCAUGUUUGUUUUACUCCAGAUGAAGUUGUGCAAAUAUGGAGACAAGAACAAAGUGGAAUAUAGAAUCCGGGAAAUCUGAACAUAGAACUUGUGGAGAGGUGGAACAG
rnacentral:lncRNA from 1 species